rnacentral:rRNA from 1 species
CGAUUAGCCAUGCUAGUUGCGCGGUUAGACUCCGCGGCGUAAAAGCUCAGUAACACGUGGCCAACCUACCCUGUGGACGGGAAAACUCUCGGGAAAUUGGGCUAAACCCCGAUAUACGUCUUGGUCCUGGAAGGGGCAAAGUCGGAAACGUUCCGGCGCUACAGGAUGCGGCUGCGGUCGAUUAGGUAGAUGGUGGGGUAACGGCCCACCGUGCCUAUAAUCGGUACGGGUUGUGAGAGCAAGAGCCCGGAGACGGAAUCUGAGACAAGAUUCCGGGCCCUACGGGGCGCAGCAGGCGCGAAACCUUUACACUGUACGAAAGUGCGAUAGGGGGACUCCGAGUGUGAGGGCAUAUAGCCUUCGCUUUUGUGCACCGUAAGGUGGUGCACGAAUAAGGACUGGGCAAGACCGGUGCCAGCCGCCGCGGUAAUACCGGCAGUCCAAGUGAUGGCCGAUAUUAUUGGGCCUAAAGCGUCCGUAGCUGGCUGAACAAGUCCGUUGGGAAAUCUGUCCGCUUAACGGGCAGGCGUCCAGGGGAAACUGUUCAGCUUGGGACCGGAAGACUUGAGGGGUACGUCUGGGGUAGGAGUGAAAUCCUGUAUUCCUGGACGGACCCCCGGUGGGGAAACCGCCUCAGGAGACCGGAUCCGACAGUGAGGGACGAAAGCUAGGGUCUCGAACCGGAUUAGAUCCCCGGGUAGUCCUGGCUGUAAACGAUGCUCCGCUAGGUGUGUCGCACGCUACGAGCCUGCGAUGUUCUCGUAGGGAAACACGAAAAAGCGGGACCCGCCUGGGAAGUACGUCUUGCAAGGAUGAAACAUAAAGGGAAUUGGGCGGGGGGAGCAACUAUCAACCGGCAGGAGCGCUGCU